rnacentral:lncRNA from 1 species
AGUAUCGUUCGGCUGAUCAUGAUCUUAUCUUCUGCCUAAAUUUGAAUGCGAUCCGAAUUAAAAAUAAGGAGAUAAGAAGGAAAGAGAUUUUUUAAGUUUGGAAAGAAAGGUGGUGUCAAGAUAUAUUUUUUCUUGAAUUCUUUGAAGAGUUUUUUAUCAUGAAAAAUACCAAUUCCCUUCCUCAUGCCAACACCUUUUUUCUAGAAAUUUUGGGAUGCCAAAUUGGUGGUUGGCAUGGUGAAUUUUUGGCACCCUCCCUUUGACCCAAAACCCAAAUCCCUUCUUAUUUAAAGGGGGCUCCAAUAAUAGAUGCUCUAUAUGUUCUUUUCCUUGUUCGUUUUAUUUCUUCUAUAGAGCUUUCUCUCUUCUUCUCUUCCUCCUUUAAGUCUUCUUUUUCUUUGGAGCAUC